UGAUUUUCAGAGUAUGGUGUUCCAAAAC
rnacentral:piRNA from 1 species